rnacentral:rRNA from 1 species
GUUUCAGCCGCCGCGGUAAUACAGAGGGUGCGAGCGUUAAUCGGAAUUACUGGGCGUAAAGCGUGCGUAGACGGUUAGGUAAGUCGGAUGUGAAAGCCCCGGGCUCAACCCGGGAAUUGCAUUCGAGACUGCAUAGCUAGGGUGCGGAAGAGGGAAGCGGAAUUUCCGGUGUAGCGGUGAAAUGCGUAGAUAUCGGAAGGAACAUCAGUGGCGAAAGCGGCUUCCUGGUCCAGCACCGACGUUCAGGCACGAAAGCGUGGGGAGCAAACAGGAUUAGAAACCCGUGUAGUCC